UACGAAGGGGGCUAGCGUUGUUCGGAAUUACUGGGCGUAAAGGGCGCGCAGGCGGUCUUCCAAGUCGGAUGUGAAAGCCCCGGGCUCAACCUGGGAACUGCAUUCGAGACUGGGAGACUUGAGUUCGGGAGAGGAGAGCGGAAUUCCCAGUGUAGAGGUGAAAUUCGUAGAUAUCGGGAGGAACACCAGUGGCGAAGGCGGCGACCUGGGCCAAUAUUGACGCUGAGGUGCGAAAGCGUGGGGAGCAAACAGG
rnacentral:rRNA from 1 species